rnacentral:rRNA from 1 species
CCUACGGGGGACAGCAGUGAGGAAUAUUGGUCAAUGGACGAGAGUCUGAACCAGCCAAGUAGCGUGAAGGAUGACUGCCCUAUGGGUUGUAAACUUCUUUUAUAAAGGAAUAAAACGAGGCACGUGUGCCUUUUUGCAUGUACUUUAUGAAUAAGGAUCGGCUAACUCCGUGCCAGCAGCCGCGGUAAUACGGAGGAUCCGAGCGUUAUCCGGAUUUAUUGGGUUUAAAGGGAGCGUAGAUGGGUUGUUAAGUCAGUUGUGAAAGUUUGCGGCUCAACCGUAAAAUUGCAAUUGAUACUGGCAGUCGUGAGUACAGUUGAGGUAGGCGGAAUUCGUGGUGUAGCGGUGAAAUGCUUAGAUAUCACGAAGAACCCCGAUUGCGAAGGCAGCUUACUAAACUGUGACUGACAUUGAUGCUCGAAAGUGUGGGUAUCAAACAGGAUUAGAUACCCCGGUAGUA